rnacentral:rRNA from 1 species
GGGUCCGGACACACUGAGGAUUGACAGAUAUAUAUACACCGUCGGUACUUGUAUCGCGGUGUUGAAAGAUGCUAGUUCUUUCAUGAUUAUGUGAUAGGUGGUGCAUGGCCGUUCUUAGUUCGUGGAGUGAUCUGUCUGCUUAAUUGCGUAUCAUAAAAAGAGACCUAGUAUACGCGUAAGAUAUCGUUUACGGCUCGUGACCCCCUUCGGGCGUGUGUCGCACGUACGUAUCAUACGCACUGGUCUCCGAUAGCAACGAACGUGACCGUACUCUAUUGUUGCAGCGAAUGUAUGCAUCUUCGGGUGUAUCUACCGCUGCUUAGCAUAUUUCAUGCCUCGUGCGUGUGUAUGCAUUAAACUAUAGAGACCGCUGUAUUUUUUUUAAACCAGAGGAAGGAUACGGCAAUAACAGGUCUGUGAUGCCCUCAGAUGUUCCGGGCUGCACACGUGCUACAAUGAUCAUUGCACUGUGCAUCUAACCCAAUGUGCGUGGACGCCACGGUAUGUAUUUAUGCUUCGGCGUAGUAUAUAUCAGUUGGUCGGCCGCGCCGAACCUACUUCGAAAGUAAAAUUUCUCAGUGGGU